rnacentral:rRNA from 1 species
CAGUAGCCACGGUAAUACGAAGGGGGCUAGCGUUGUUCGGAAUUACUGGGCGUAAAGCGCACGUAGGCGGAUACUUAAGUCAGGGGUGAAAUCCCGGGGCUCAACCCCGGAACUGCCUUUGAUACUGGGUAUCUCGAGUCCGGAAGAGGUGAGUGGAAUUCCGAGUGUAGAGGUGAAAUUCGUAGAUAUUCGCAGGAACACCAGUGGCGAAGGCGGCUAACUGGUCCAUAACUGACGCUGAGGUGCGAAAGCGUGGGGAGCAAACAGGAUUAGAUACCCCAGUAGUCCCUGUCUCUUAUAC